CCUCGGUCCCUCUCUCCUCCUCUUCCUCUCUCUGGACGCCCGGCUCCUCCGCACCCCCUCCCCCGGGGGUCCCGCGGCCUCCACAGUUGAUGCUGCAGUCCCGGGGGCUGGGAAGAAGCGGUACCCAACUGCCGAGGAGAUCUUGGUUCUGGGGGGCUACCUCCGUCUCAGCCGCAGCUGCCUUGCCAAGGGGUCCCCCGAAAGACACCACAAACAGCUUAAGAUCUCCUUCAGCGAGACAGCCCUGGAGACCACGUACCAAUACCCCUCCGAGAGUUCGGUACUGGAGGAGCUGGGCCCGGAGCCUGAGGUCCCCAGUGCCCCCAACCCUCCAGCAGCCCAACCCGACGACGAAGAGGAUGAGGAAGAGCUGCUGCUGCUGCAGCCAGAGCUCCAGGGCGGGCUGCGCACCAAGGCCCUGAUUGUGGAUGAGUCCUGCCGGCGGUGACCAUCUUCCAACAUAGGGAUAUACCUCCCUCCUUCUUAUAACUGAAGAUCCUGGAGCCCGGAAGAUUCAGGGCAGACAGACCCUGAUAAUGAGCCUGGCAGGGAAGGGCAACCAACAUCUUGUAACUUGCUUUCCCCACCCUGUUUCUGGGGGCAGAGCCAAUUGCCCAAUUUCUACCCUAAUCCAAAGUCCCUGGUGUGGGUGGGGUUAAACGUGCUGGUGCAUCCUAGGUCAUCCAAGAGUGAGCGCCAAGUCCUGAGAAGGGGCACAGAACUCCCUGGAGGGUGGAGAUGGAGCACCUGCCCCCCAUGGCAGGGUACACUCUCCCCACAGCCUUCCUCCCCACCAUCCCGUGGGGACUCUCGGGAUUUAAGCACUCGUCUCUCUGGGAGGCCCAGACCCCACUCCAUUUAUAGGCACAUCUCCUUCAUUUCCUAGGUCACUGCCCCUUUGUUUACAGCUCCUGCCUCCUCCCUUGACCACAGCCUGGUUUACAAAUUCCAUCAGCUCCCAGCCCCACCUGCCAAAGUCCCAGGUUUACAAGCCACGCUUACUUGCUGUGUCUGCGUGGAAUUCUCUCCUCUGUCCCCUCCAGUCUCCUCAUUGGAGUGACCUGAAGGUGUGGCUUCCUCCACUUUUUCUCAGUAUUACUUUGCCUUAGUUUUCCCCAAGAGGGAAGGCUGGAACUCUUAACUCUGUACCCCUUGAUAGUUAUUUAAUUCUGUUUCUCCUAGUGGUUCACAAUUGAACUGAAUUGAGAUGGUGUCGGGUGGCUAAGGAGACACCUCACCUCUCCUUCCCCAUUGUGCCGCCUUUAUCAAUUGCCUGUUUUGUUUUGUUUGUUUUUUAACUUUCCAUAAUAAAAUGGAGUUCUCUUCAA
rnacentral:lncRNA from 1 species